ACGGCAGCACGGACUUCGGUCUGGUGGCGAGUGGCGAACGGGUGAGUAAUAUAUCGGAACGUAUCCAAUAAUGGGGGAUAACUAAUCGAAAGGUUGGCUAAUACCGCAUACGCCCUACGGGGGAAAGCUAGGGACCUUCGGGCCUGGCGUUAAUGGAGCGGCCGAUAUCUGAUUAGCUAGUUGGUGAGGUAAAGGCUCACCAAGGCGACGAUCAGUAGCUGGUCUGAGAGGACGACCAGCCACACUGGAACUGAGACACGGUCCAGACUCCUACGGGAGGCAGCAGUGGGGAAUUUUGGACAAUAGGCGAAAGCCUGAUCCAGCCAUUCCGCGUGAGUGAAGAAGGCCUUCGGGUUGUAAAGCUCUUUCGCAAGGGAAGAAAGAUUACUCUCUAACAUAGAGUGAUUAUGACGGUACCUUGAUAAGAAGCACCGGCUAACUACGUGCCAGCAGCCGCGGUAAUACGUAGGGUGCGAGCGUUAAUCGGAAUUACUGGGCGUAAAGCGUGCGCAGGCGGUUUUGUAAGUCAGAUGUGAAAUCCCCGAGCUCAACUUGGGAACUGCGUUUGAAACUACAAGACUAGAAUAUGUCAGAGGGGGGUAGAAUUCCACGUGUAGCAGUGAAAUGCGUAGAGAUGUGGAGGAAUACCAAUGGCGAAAGCAGCCCCCUGGGAUAAUAUUGACGCUCAUGCACGAAAGCGUGGGGAGCAAACAG
rnacentral:rRNA from 1 species